rnacentral:tRNA from 2 species
GCGGCAGUAGCUCAGUUGGUUGCCUUUAAUCCGCAGGAUUAAAGGACAGCAGCUUCCCAAGCUGAGGGUCGCGGGUUCGAAUCCCGUUUGCCGCUCCA